AGCGACGACGCUCGCUCAAACGGCGCGCCGCCGGCUGGUCACGGCUGCCAGCAGCCAGACGGCGAGCUGCAAGCCCAUGCAGAGCGGAGCACGCCGCGCGCUGUGGCAGCUACUCCUACGGCCAUGCACGAACCGAGCAUAGCUCAGCCAAGGCAAGACAAAAGUAGAGCAAAGUGAGCAACCGAAGCUUACAACCCAGCGGCGUUGGUGGCCAGCCUCGGGGGCGCUCGGCGGCGCGGCGCGGUGACCAGGAGGGGCGGGGUGCGCAGCGAGGCCGGCGACUGGCGCUGCGCGGCGGCCGACGGUGCCUCCUGCGCGGCGGCGGAACGGCUCGACGGCGACGCGGAGCUCCAGGAGAACGGCGACAGCUCAAACGUCUCCAAGAUCUAGCAUGCAUGUGUGUCCACGAGGUUAGUGAGGCCACAGGGAUGGUGUGUGCGCGAGGAAUUGGACAAUGGCUCACCGGAGGAGGCGGAAUCGACGUUUGACGCCGGUGGCCGGAGUUGGAGAAGAUGACGCCGUUCUUCGUCCAUGGUGCUUCAAUCUUGGGGGUUCUUGAGGGGUUCUGGUCAUGGUGAUGAGAUGACGAUGGUGGCGCGGCGGCUCGACUUGGCGUGGACCAGAUCGACGGGGAGGAAGAUGAUGUCGUGGCGGCAUCGCUCCGGUGCGCGUUCUAGAGCGCCGUGGGUAGGCGCGGCAUGGCAUGGCAUGGCGCGGCGUUCCUUCGCAGGCGGCGGCGGCUCGGCGGUCAGAUGGUGCGUGGUGCGGUGCGGCGGCGGCGGCUCGGCGUGGAAGAGGAAUGGCGGCAGUGGCUUGGUGGCACAGAAGGAAACAAACUUUGUUCAAAUGGCCUCUCAAGCCUAAGGGCAACCAAGUCAUUUGGCUGUGCCGUUACCCACCGUGAGGACCAAAAACGGACAGAAUGAUGUGGAGGGCGCGAUAAAGUUCGACGAUGGCAUAGAGAAAGGCUCAAACUUUUUAGUGGCACAGAGGCAGCCACCAUCUUUUUUAAUGGCAUACAGGAGAAAACCUCACAGGGUGAGAAGGAAGCGUCAUGGCAGAUUCACCGGGCAACGUGCUAGUCUGGUAGGGGUGAAAAUAAAAAAUAGUAAUAGUAGGGACGUGGAAGGGUAUGUUUGUGAAAGAACUUUUACGAAGGAUCUAGAAGAUGUUUUGCCAAUCAAUGAAUCCAACGGCUCCCAUCAUCUUCAACUGAAAUCGGAUGGCCAAUUUUUCUUCGAUGACGUGGCGCACCCCGGUGGUGAAAAACUUUAGUUUUUUUCACUACUUUAGAUUCUAUAGUAGAACUAUUAUGUGUUGAGUUUAAAAUGUUAUUCACAUUGCUAGCGAGAAUGAAGAGUUUAAAUUGCUAUCUUCUUUAAAUAUUUGGGGUUAUCACUCAACUGCUUAGAGAAGAAAUUAUUUGCUAGAUUUGAAUUGCCAUGCCCUUCUGAUGUGAUUUUUCAUGUUAUUGGCAAUUAUGAUAGUAAAGGAGAAUAUAAUGUGCAUCGAGUAUAUAUUUGUUCGAAUUUGACUAUACCUCCUUUUCAUGAUGAAAUGUAUUGUCUAGAGGACCGUAUAUGUAUACGUAAUUUCUAAACCUCACCUCUGAUGUUUGAUGAACUUCAUUUUCUCGUAAAUACUUUGUUUGACCAGAUUUCCUGCUAUAUAUAUAUAUAUAUACUCUCUCACAUAUGGACAAUAUAAUGGUUUAGGCGACUAUUGUCUACAUAAUCUAGACGACCCACACAAUAGAAUAUUUUAAGCAGAUUUUUAUAAGUGCCAACCACUGCCUAUGUUUUGCUAUUAAUAGUAUAGUUCCUUUCGUGAAUUUGCACAAAGACUAUAGAAAAUCAUAAUAUAAGUGCGACCACGGACUUCAUGAAAGUUAGAAAAAUUUUCUCAAGCAUAUAAGCAUAUAGUCUGACGGUCAUUUCAUAAAAAUCUCUUGAUAUGAUUUUAUAAGUGAACAGGAUCAAAUUAAUUUGAAUGUACAAGCCGAUAUGAAAUUAAAAGAAGUAGAAGUUUCUGUACAUGCUAUUAAGAAAAUUUAGGUGAACUAAAUCCUUAUUAUGCCUUUUUUUGUUUUCUUCUGACACAAUUGUAAGUUUGUUUAGAAUACUGUAAGCUGCGGCACCGGAGGAUGGCCAACCUCAUUGGCUACUGCUGCGACGGCGACAAGCGGCUUCUCGUCGCCGAGUUCAUGCCCAACGACACCCUCACCAGGCACCUCUUCCACUGAGUUUCCUCCCUCCCUCCAGUCCCCUAUGUUGUUUUCAGGGUGAUAAAUACAAUGAAGAAGAACCUAAUGCAUUUGAUUUAUUCAAGGAGUUCCACUACAGCAAGAAAAAAAAAGCUACACCAGUGCUGUACAUGAGGCUAUUGUAAGAUGACUUUCAAACUCUGCUGGGAGCCGUGGAGGAGCUUGCGGCGCUCGACAGCGACAACCACUGUGCAGAGCUUGCUGGCGGCGUUGGAUCGACAUUGCCUCCAGUCGUUUGCUGUCAUGCCAGUCCUGGAAGGCCAUGCCGUUGUGCCGCAUGUGCAUCGCCUCCGCACCUGGCUGUCCGCCGCCAGCGGCUGCGGCCUCCUUAGGGAUGCUACCGUCGGGUGUUUUGUCCACCUGCGCGUUGCCAUGCGGCAGAUGAAUAGGCUGGAGCAGCAAUACGCACGAACAUAAGGUGAGGAUUCUACCAUUAAAUGCACUAUGACACAAUUUGAGGAUCAGUUUAGCACUAUAAAACCUGAUGGGAUUCAAGCCAGAUGCCAUAAAGUACUUGUUUUUUUUUGUUGCACUGGACUUCGGACAACUCUGUCUGAUGCUAUCUCUGAAACUGCUGCCAAUGUUUUCUAACGUAAAUGCAGUGCCCUGGUGGGGUUUACUUGAGUCUGUACUAAAUUUUGCUUACUCAUGUAUUAUAAGAUUCAUAUAUACAUUAUGUCGCUGGGGUACAUGUAAUUCAAGUACAAUAAGAAACUACUCGUUUGGCAGCAAUUUUGCAUCA